CCUUGAGUUCUGGGCCGCACGCGCGCUACACUGACAGAGCCAACGAGUUUUUUUCCUUGGCCGGAAGGUCUGGGUAAUCUUGUUAAACUCUGUCGUGCUGGGGAUAGAGCAUUGCAAUUAUUGCUCUUCAACGAGGAAUGCCUAGUAAGCGCAUGUCAUCAGCAUGCGUUGAUUACGUCCCUGCCCUUUGUACACACCGCCCGUCGCUACUACCGAUUGAAUGGCUCAGUGAGGUGUUCGGACUGGCCCAGGGAGGUCGGCAACGACCACCCAGGGCCGGAAAGUUCAUCAAACUGAGUCAUUUAGAGGAAGUAAAAGUCGUAACAAGGUCUCCGUAGGUGAACCUGCGGAGGGAUCAUUACUGAGUGUGGGCUCCGGCCCUACCUCCAACCCCAUGUCGAAACGACUCUGUUGCCUCGGGGGCGACCCGGCCUUCGGGCGUCGGGGCCCCCGGUGGACACCUUCAUAACUCUUGCAUCUCUUGCGUCUGAGUGAUACAUAUAAUCAAUCAAAACUUUCAACAACGGAUCUCUUGGUUCUGGCAUCGAUGAAGAACGCAGCGAAAUGCGAUAAGUAAUGUGAAUUGCAGAAUUCAGUGAAUCAUC
rnacentral:rRNA from 1 species